AUUGAACGCUGGCGGCAGGCCUAACACAUGCAAGUCGAGCGGAUGAAGGGAGCUUGCUCCUGGAUUCAGCGGCGGACGGGUGAGUAAUGCCUAGGAAUCUGCCUGGUAGUGGGGGACAACGUUUCGAAAGGAACGCUAAUACCGCAUACGUCCUACGGGAGAAAGCAGGGGACCUUCGGGCCUUGCGCUAUCAGAUGAGCCUAGGUCGGAUUAGCUAGUAGGUGAGGUAAUGGCUCACCUAGGCGACGAUCCGUAACUGGUCUGAGAGGAUGAUCAGUCACACUGGAACUGAGACACGGUCCAGACUCCUACGGGAGGCAGCAGUGGGGAAUAUUGGACAAUGGGCGAAAGCCUGAUCCAGCCAUGCCGCGUGUGUGAAGAAGGUCUUCGGAUUGUAAAGCACUUUAAGUUGGGAGGAAGGGCAGUAAGUUAAUACCUUGCUGUUUCGACGUUACCGACAGAAUAAGCACCGGCUAACUCUGUGCCAGCCGCCGCCGUAAUAC
rnacentral:rRNA from 1 species